rnacentral:lncRNA from 1 species
AUCUGUGUAAUUAUUUAAAUCUUUGAAAUAUUUGGAUAUUGCUUCUCAUUAGAGAAAGUCAGAAGCAGACCCUGAAGCGAUUCCUUUGGAGCAACCGUUAACCAGAACACUACUUUUUCUUUUGCAGUCCAAACAAGAAAAUGAUGGAGAUUGCUUUUAAAAGACCCGUAUUUCUCGGCCUACUGAAAACCAGACUGGAACCCUAGUUGCCCCUGUGCCAGUUUUCAUGGUCCAAUGCUAGAAUGGAGUACCCCGAACGCUCCGGUACCUCCGACGUGAUGGAUGUGUCAUCUGAUGACAGAACAAAGGAAGAGAGCUCGGACCCAGGAGAGGCCUUGGAACAGACUUGGGAUCCGCUUGCAUUUUCUGGGACUUGCCGGGCUGAAGAUGCCGUUCCCCCUCCUUCUUUGGGUCUUGUACAGGACAGAUUGGGGGGUCUUCUCUGCAGAAGGGAAACCCCCUCUGAGAAAUCCAUUCCAGUGUUAACGCAGAAUAAUCUUGAACUGGGCUUGGACUUCUCUGAGAGAUCCGGCCAGCCUUUCGAGACGAUAAAAAACUUGAAAACUCAGGAUAAGCGUAAUAAUGACGCUGCCCAGUCUGUUUUUUGGGCUGGUAUCCUGCAAGCUCAGUUGUGUGUCUUAGAUCUUCAGGAGGAAUUGGAUAAGCAGGAAGAAUCUCUGCAGGUUCACAGUGUGAAUUCUGAAUCCCUGGACUCAGCUACCUUCAACAAUCCUUCCCUCCUGGCAAGUGAUAGUGAGGAGGAGCCAGAAGAGAAUUUAGAAAAACAGGAGGAGGAAGAAAGCGAGGAGGAGGAAGAGGAGGAGGAGGAAGAGGAGGAGGAGGAAGUUGAAUACUUAUUUUUCAAUAACCCACUCUUUCAGGAAAGUCCUCACUUAACCAGAACUUUUGAAGGACAAGUUCCAUGGUCACAAUCAGAAGGAGAAACGUCCACUGAGAAUUACAAGAAAGAUGGCAAAAGUGAAGUGGGCUCUGGAAACCAUCACGGUGACUUCUUUUCCCAGGCCAAGGUGGCAGUAAGGCCUGUGGGCAGGACUUAUUUAUCUUCAUCUGGUCCGGAUGCUGAUGAGGACACAACCGCCUGUUCUUGUCCAAGUUAUGUGCCCCAUUAUCGCUCCUUGUCCCCAUUGAUAAUUACAGAAAGAGACCUUGAAAUCACCUGCUCUUUGGAUGAGAAUUCAGAGGCGGAGGGCUGUUUCCUGGAUCCCCUCCAAGGAGACGUUCUGGAAAGCAUCACUCCAGGUAAGUCUCGCUCUGCUCUUCCCAAGAGCAUCAGGCGAUGCCCUGCGGUCUUGCCAGGUGUGCGAAGGAAGCCGCUUUGUGGCUGACUUGUCCCUCUGGUCCACGUACAGAGCCGCCUCCGCCUGGGUACCUGCCGGCAGAAGGCCUGCUGUUCUCCACCUCCGGCCCUUCCCUGGUGUCUGCUUUGCUGCAAGAGUCCACGCAGAGCUGCCCCCCCGCCAGGCCUACGUCUCCAGGGACGAGCGGCUGCGUCCCUUCCAGCGUCCGGGUCCCCUCGGCUCCCGCUGCAGAGCAGAGUCUGCAGCAAGAGAGGUUGGAGCCACAAGCCUCGCCCCGCGGCCGCCCUCCUUCGCCUUCCCGCACCUGGCUAGAGGAGCCUGAAAGAACUUCCUCUCCGCAGAAGGACGUCAGCGGAGCAGAUGUGCUCCCCAGCCCACUCUGUGGUGCAGAGCGGAAGCCGCCCAGCUCAGUCGAGAGAUGCAGCAUGGUGGAGCUGCCAGCUAUGCAAAGCGAUGGGAGGCCGGAAGGCAGAGGAGAAGAGCCCGCAGUACAGUAAGGAUGCUCUUUUUUGUGCCUCUUGGG